CAUCGGUCCUGCACUGCGGUUUCAGUCCAGGCUUCAGUCCAGGCUCAUGUGAUGGUGUCGGGCUCUGCCCAGAGGAGGAACGUGAAGCAGAAGGUCACACGAGGAAGCAACGCGGCCUCCACCCACGUUUUGAUGUAUUUGAACCUUGUUUUUCAGAUACGAUCUGUGACCAGAUCAGUGAUGCUGGAUGCUCAUCUGAGGCAGGACCCUGAGGCCAAAGUGGCCUGUGGGACCUGGACCUGAAGAGACCCAUCUACCAGAAGACGGCCGGUUAUGGACACUUUGGCAGGAAGGAGUUUCUGUGGGAGGUCCCAGAGAACCUCAGCUUCUGCAGGUGGACGAAUGAGAUAUCAACACAGGAAGCAGGUCUGCCAUGUCCCAGUGCAGCAGCGUCUCAUCAGUGGGUUGACGCGCGGUGAUACAGACAGAAAAUAGUUCCGACAUGAAACUGCUCACAGCGAGCUCUGUGGAUGAUCUCGAGUAUGAUUUUUAUUGAUUAUCGAACAAUAAAACAUGUUGAGGCACUGACUUCAAGGCU